UGGCAUGUAGCUCAGAGGCAGAGCACCCGGCUGUUAACCGGGCGGUCGCAGGUUCGAUCCCCGCCGUGCCAGCCA
rnacentral:tRNA from 1 species